rnacentral:rRNA from 1 species
AUGGCGACCGCCUUCGACUCCCCGACCUCCUCCCCGGCGGCCGCGCCCUUCCACGACGACCCCUUCCUCAGCUUCGCCGACUCCCCCACCCCCGCCGCGGCCGACGCCCACGUCUCCGGCGACGCCUUCCCGGCCUCCCCCGACCCCUACGCCUUCCGCCACGACUCCGCCGCCGCGCACCCCUUCGGCAUGCCCGACUCCAACGGCAACGGCCACGCCAUGCACCACGACGCCGACGACGACGGCCUCUUCACCGACCCCGGCCCCGUCCUCCCCGACCCCGCCCAGAUGGGGGCCGACGAGGGCUUCCUCCUCCGCGAGUGGCGCCGUCAAAAUGCACUCCUUCUGGAGGAAAAGGAGAAGCACGAGAAGGAGCUGAGGAGCCAAAUCAUCCUUGAAGCUGAAGAGUUCAAGAAGGGUUUCGUCGAGAAGCGCAAGCUGAACCUUGAGACAAGCAAGGAUCACAACCGGGAAAGGGAGAAGCUUUUCCUGUCCAACCAGGAGAAGUUCCACAAGGGCGCAGACAAGCAGUACUGGAAGGCGAUAUCCGAGCUCAUCCCACAGGAGAUUGCGCACAUCGAGAAGAGGACGGGCAAGAAGGACAAGGACAAGAAGCCUGGGAUCAUCGUUGUCCAGGGCCCCAAGCCCGGGAAGGCCACCGACAUGGCGCGGAUGCGCCAGAUCCUCUCAAAGCUGAAGCACACACCGCCGCCACACAUGAAGCCACCUCCACCACCUGCUGCAGCACCCGCUGGGAAGGAUGGAACUCCGGCCGCCGCUGGAAAGGACGGAGCUAAGGCGGUAGCGACACCUGCUGCCAAGGAUGCCCCUGCCAACGGCACUGUCCCUGAGAAGGAGAAUGCCGCACCCGCCGCCGCUGCCCCCGCAGCAGCAGCCCCUGCACCACCAGCUGAGCCCAUCGCUGCUGCCUGA